UACGUAGGGCGGCAAGCGUUAUCCGGAAUUAUUGGGCGUAAAGAGCUCGUAGGCGGUUUGUCGCGUCUGCCGUGAAAGUCCGGGGCUCAACUCCGGAUCUGCGGUGGGUACGGGCAGACUAGAGUGAUGUAGGGGAGACUGGAAUUCCUGGUGUAGCGGUGAAAUGCGCAGAUAUCAGGAGGAACACCGAUGGCGAAGGCAGGUCUCGUGGGCAUUAACUGACGCUGAGGAGCGAAAGCAUGGGGAGCGAACAGG
rnacentral:rRNA from 1 species